UAGGGAAUCUUCGGCAAUGGACGAAAGUCUGACCGAGCAACGCCGCGUGAGUGAAGAAGGUUUUCGGAUCGUAAAACUCUGUUGUUAGAGAAGAACAAGGAUGAGAGUAACUGUUCAUCCCUUGACGGUAUCUAACCAGAAAGCCACGGCUAACUACGUGCCAGCAGCCGCGGUAAUACGUAGGUGGCAAGCGUUGUCCGGAUUUAUUGGGCGUAAAGCGAGCGCAGGCGGUUUCUUAAGUCUGAUGUGAAAGCCCCCGGCUCAACCGGGGAGGGUCAUUGGAAACUGGGAGACUUGAGUGCAGAAGAGGAGAGUGGAAUUCCAUGUGUAGCGGUGAAAUGCGUAGAUAUAUGGAGGAACACCAGUGGCGAAGGCGGCUCUCUGGUCUGUAACUGACGCUGAGGCUCGAAAGCGUGGGGAGCAAACA
rnacentral:rRNA from 2 species